rnacentral:misc_RNA from 1 species
CAAUUAGUUGGGAACUCAAGCAUAUUUGCAGCCAUAUUUAGUAGAAUUUUCAGUGUCGAAAAAGCGAAACGCUUUGACAAAAAUGGUGAAUUUUCGUGUUUUUCUUAUCAAAUCGAUAUUUGCUGUGCUCAUGAUUCUACAAUUGGCCUCCGAUGCGGAUAUCGUGACCGUUUUCAAGCGUACUUUUGGCAAAGCGUCUUUAAAUGAUGACAACUGUGGCUGUGGAAAAUAACGGCGCAAUAUUCGGAAAAAAGUGCUAGUAAUAAGUGAAAUCAUUUGCGGAUUUAGAAUUGUUUGAAAUAUAUUUAUUCAAUACUCAAAAGGCUUAUUGUAAGCUUAAACUACUGAAACCUUAGUUACUUGUUUUUUACUUCUUUUAAUUUUUAAAUCAAAUCUUCAAAAUUAAUCACAAAAAAAAUCUCCAGAAGUUAUCAUGCCACAUAUGUUCAUCUCUCUCUCUCGCUCUCUCUUCAUGUAAGUAAUACUUUGUUUCUUGCUAGAGUUACUAAAUUGUGUGCUUCACAGAUCUUACAUAAUUAGACAGCAACUGAAUGAAGAAUAUUUCAACAUUUUCUAUAACUUUGACUAAAAGCAUUUCAACACAACACAUAGCAUGUAACGGUGCCAAAAAAUUGAGCUCUUCAUCUAGUCAGAGCUAAACAAAUGCACAGAAUAUACUUUCAUGACUUUUCGUUUACGAACGAACUCUACAUUUCGUCUUCAAGUCAAUGAUUAUGAUAUCGUGGACGAUUGUAGCCGGCAACCUGAUAUAUAUUUGUCUCGUUAAGAACAAUGACUGGCUUCUGGAAUAAUUUUUUCGUAAUCGAAGAACCCUUACCAAUAGUUUCAAUUAUCUUCACAACAUUCUAACAAAAGAUGAAAACUUUAGAAUAAUUUCUUCACAAGUUUGGAACUAAAAGUGCUAUUGGAAAAGAUCUUAACGGUUGAUAAUGAAUGUUAAUCAUUCAUCAAAAUUAAUUCCGUCGAGAUGGUUGCAACCUCGAAUUUUACAGUUAUGACUCUGUUGCCUAUUGGAACAUUAUCUCUCCUACGAUUCCGGUCCAUAAUCUAUCACAUUCAUAUGUCAAACAUAUCUCGAACCAAGGGAUGAAAUUAUAAUAAGAAAUGGCUCUCUUUCAUUAUCUAAGACUGAAAAAGCCCUCCUACUAAAAA